AGAGUUUGAUCCUGGCUACAGAACGAACGCUGGCGGCAUGCCUAACACAUGCAAGUCGAACGAAGCCUUCGGGGCUUAGUGGCGCACGGGUGCGUAACGCGUGGGAAUCUGCCCUUGGGUUCGGAAUAACAGUUAGAAAUGACUGCUAAUACCGAAUGAUGUCUUCGGACCAAAGAUUUAUCGCCCAAGGAUGAGCCCGCGUCGGAUUAGCUAGUUGGUGAGGUUAAAGGCUCACCAAGGCGACGAUCCGUAGCUGGUCUGAGAGGAUGAUCAGCCACACUGGGACUGAGACACGGCCCAGACUCCUACGGGAGGCAGCAGUGGGGAAUAUUGGACAAUGGGCGAAAGCCUGAUCCAGCAAUGCCGCGUGAGUGAUGAAGGCCUUAGGGUUGUAAAGCUCUUUUACCCGGGAUGAUAAUGACAGUACCGGGAGAAUAAGCCCCGGCUAACUCCGUG
rnacentral:rRNA from 1 species